UAUCCAUGAACCAUGAUGCGACACUACUAUGCAGUAGUAAUGAGCUACUGCACAGUCAGCAUCUCAUGUAGGUGCAGCCCAAAAUGCCCAAAUAGCAGCAUCAAAAAAUAAAUUAAAGACCUUUCUUCUAUUUUAGACUUCCCCUUCAUAUAGAUUGCACACCUUCGUGUAAGGCUCAAACCUAGCUACAGCCAUCUAUGUUUCGCAUCUUCAUUUUGAUCACUGAAAUUAAUCGUACCCAAGAAUGAAGUCACAUACCAUAUACAAGUUCUAACUGGUAAAAAAAUUAAAUCCAUUUUCUUACGGCUGUGUUAAGGAGGUCAGUUUGGUGCUUUCUUGUUAACAUCAGCUCCCUAUUGAGUGUAAAUUUCAAUUCAAGGACUUUCUGCCCUAAUAUUCAAAGUCUUCUACAGACUGGAAUUACCUGAAAGAUCAUCUCUACCUUGCCUUCUGCCUCACUUCUAACUCUCCCAUCACAGCUAUCUUUCAUUGAAACGCUGGAAAAUUCAGCUACUAGGAGAGGAGGUGCUCAUAUACGGCAGGGAAAAUGUUGACAGGAAUUGGACCUAGACUAUGGAACACUCUCCCACAGGAGGCAAGUCUAAUUGUGGAGUUCACCAUUUAAAAAAUAAAUGCCAUUUUUUUACUCAGCUUUCCUUCAACAAAGACAUUACAAAGAACAGACUACAUGGACUAGAGAGGAAGAACAAGGUGUUGACAUUAUUGUUCCUCUUUAAAAUACUCAAAGGGCACUCAGAAACUGUACUCAUAGGUGACAUAUUGGUAUCCUGAUGAGCAGAUAGAGUGCUUUUUUAGAGAAAGAAGUAUAAGUUGAUAGCAUCCUUAAGUGGUUAUAACUCAAUCUUCUUUUUUAACCAGCUGUUUCAAGUGAUAGUUUUUUCAAUGUGUGCCUACUAAAACUGUUACUUCAGAAAGCUAGUAAGGAAUUUUCUUUUUAAACAAAUAAACAUAUCUAGCUUUUCCAUGUAUUUUUAAUAAACUUCAUAAAAUGCCCAUCAACAGAAAGAUAAAUUUUCUUGUGGUAGCAGAGCUGGAUGUGAUUACUUUCUCACUAGCCCUUCUCAGACCCUGAAAGUGAAUCAAGCAAUGAGAGAGGGAACACAGGAGGGUGGAGUAUGUUACCUCACACUUGUCAAACAGGGCUAUUUUAUUUUUCCCAUUGAAUUAAAGUCCACUUCAUCCCUACCGUAUAGACUCAUAGAAAUGUAAGGCUGGAAAGACUCUCAAGAGGCUAUCCAGUCUAGCCCACUGCACAAAGGCAGGAUCAAGUAUAUCUAGAACAUCCCUGACAUAUGCUUAUUUAACCUAUUCUUAAAAAACCUCCGGUGAAGGGAGAUUAUGGAAGCAGCCUAAGCAGCCUGUUCCAGUGUUUUAUUAAUUAGAAAGCAUUCUCGAAUAUCCAACUUAAACCAUCUUCACUGCAUAUUAAGUUGAUUUUUUCUUUUCCUUGAACAAGGAAAACAAUUUAUCACAGCCCUUUUUAUAACAACCUGUUAUUUACUGGAGGAUUGUUAUGUUCACUCCUUAGUCUCCUCUUUUCCAAAAGAAAAACCACCAGUUUCUUCAACCUUUCCUCAUAGAUCACAGAUUCUUAUUUUUGUUGCUCUUGCCUGCACUCUCUUUAUAUCUGUUUUAAGGAUGGUCUCUAAAAAACUGGACACUGCUGGACAGUGUCAAAUAAAGAAGAAUUUACUUCUGUUUCUACAAAUGACAAUCUGAUUAAUACAUCCCAGAAUAAGAUUAUCUUUUUUGAAAUCUGAUCAUAUUGUAGGCUCAUAUUUAGUUUAUGAGCCUACAAUAUGGCCACUAUAUGAGCCACUAUAAACCCAGUUGUAUCUCUGUUUAGCCAGUUAUUUCAAAUUUUGUAUUUGAGCAUUUAAUUUCUCCUCCUUCAGUGUACCACUUUAUACUAAUCUUUAUUGAAUUUCAUCAUGUUGAUUUUAAAUCAUCUCUCAAAUUUGUUAAGAUUCUUUUUGAAUUCUUAUCCUGUUCUCCAGAAUACCUGCAACUGCUCCAAGCUUGGUAUCAUAGGUAAAUUUUUUGAGAGCCCCAAAGAAGAGGAAUUAAUGUCUUCAACACCUCUUUGCAAAUCAUGGCUUGGUUCCAAGGUUACAGGAAAAAUCAUUGUUAAAGCCAAGAUUAGAACUUGAAGGAUUCUGAUUCAAGAGUGUUUACACUCUUACAAUCAACAGCCCACACCAAUCUCUCAUGGUAAUAGGUAGCAUACAGUCUGUGCAGGAGUACUUGGUACCAGCCUAUAUUAAUAUACGAAGAGUAUGACAAAUGUAUUAACAGUGAAAAAUGUUUUAUUUCCUUCUAAAGUUACAGCUACAAUUUAUUGCACAUCAGUACAAGUGAAACAUAUACAGUGACUAUAAUCACUUUCAAAAUAAAACACUAAAAUUAUUGUUUUGGACAUUUUAAUUGAACAUUUUACUUGUCACUUAAUUUUUAAAAGAUAGUUUAACAAUAGGUAGGCAGCCACAAUCGACACUCUUACUGUUUUUCAAAUGACAUUUCUCUAGCACAGUAAGAACAAUAUUGACCAUAUACAGACUUUACUCUUUGAAAUCCCUCUCUCCUCAUUUUUUUUGUCCAUUGAUGACCAACCUUCAGCCUUAUCUCUGAAGAGGUGUACAGCUCUGUUGCACUGAAAAACUGCAUGGAAACCUGUCAGAAGCUAGAAAUCCAACUCUAAUUUGCAUAAGUCACUUCCAUAUUUUAUAUGAAAAGCAAUUGUGCACAACUAUAAUAUUUGCUUUUACUUCCUUAACAGUUGAACGGAAGUUGCCUGGUGUUUGAGUUAAUCAACAAUAAAACUAUAUGGCUGAUCAGCUUCAUCUUCAUCCUUUGACUGUGAAGGUGGGAGUGGCUGUAUGUUUAAUUUUAUGAUGAUAUAGGUCAUAUUUAGCUCUUAAGUAGCAUGAUCAGUAUGAAUGCCUUGUAGAGUGCCAAUUUAAAGGAAUGGAACACAAGUUCUCUUGUGAUUUUAUAUAAUUAAAAUGAAACCUACAACAUUUUAGUAUGGAAAGUAGUACCUACAUUAAGAUUGGCUGUAAGGAAACAGAAUUUUACUUAUUUUAUAAUAGUAGUGGUAACUGUUGAACGCUACUUUGUAUCUUAAGACAAUGAACACAGAGCUCAUUCUUAUUCAAUACACAUGUUUCUGCAUGGUUUACAGGACAAUGGAUCAGUUUAAUCUUUGCUAUAGUAACUUAUUCAACUUGCACUUAGAGGGCCACACCACGGAUGAAUUUCGGCCAAUGUUUUUUUUAUUUUCCCCAUCAGAACAUUCUGCACAAUCCUGCUAUUUUUUAAACAUGCAACUUAAAAUGCAUAGCUUUGCUUUUCACAAGAACAGAAAAAAUAUAUUUUUAGAAAGUGUAUUAAAAUUAUGUUUAAACAAACUAUGCACACCUAUUCUAAGAUCUACACAAAAGUUGUUGAAAACUACAUUUAAUUCUGCAUAUUUCUUUUGAUUUUCUUAAAUAACAGCUAAAAUACUUUUGUUAAGGCAUAACAAAAGUUCUGGAUGAUGCAAUAAGUAAAUGUUGAAAGGGAAUUAGUGACAGCAGUGAAUCAAUUAAAAUAUAGCCAAGCAUCAUCAUAUUUUGGUCAAGUGGCCGUAUGUUUGUUAAAUUUGUAAUUUAAAAUAUCUCCUAAACUCACUUCUUGACGCCCUGAAGAAUUAUCAUCUCAGGGAAGAGAGUGGAGCAGGAAAAGGCCUAUUUCUACCUGGUGCCACUUUUUAUGGGCAUCAUUGACAUCGACUAGCCAGGUGCUCAUAAAUGCUGGGAAGGCCAAUACUAGUCCUCCUAAGAGAUAAGAGGUAAGUUUUUUCUUGAGGCUGUGAAAAUAGAGAAGGGAGGGAAACAAAGAGGGGAUGUGUUCAAGCCAACAAGUCAGAAGAUGAUUUUCACCAAAUGUUUUUAAAAGAUUUGAGAAAGGCAAGCUGAGACUCAAGAUCAGAGAUGAAGAGCCUAAUAGCUGACACAGAAAAUAACAGUUGUUGUUUAGGAGGCUUUUUUACUUAUUCAUUUUGCCACACUAUGUUAGGGAGGCUUAUAAUUAACUUUUCCCGAGUCUUCUACCAUCAAAGCAAACAGCAGAGACACUGGAAAAUUUUGGUAAUUUUCAAAAUGUUCCCCUUCAAAAUACCAUACAAAAUUCAAACAGCUCAUAAAUUACAAUAAGAAUUUGAAAUUAAUCCUCUCAGAGAUUUUUUAAAAAUAGCUGUGAUCCCUUUUAAAAUGAAAAGCCAGGUCCAGCUUUAAGUACGGUGACGCUUCUGCUCCAAAAUUGUAUAAAGUGAAAGGGGAAACUCCCCCAAAUGUGGGGCCUUAUCCUGGAAACUCUUGCUCCCAUACCUAAAGUUCAUUCGCAUGACUUCACUGAAACUACUGAGUAGUAGUACACAUGGUAGUUUUUGCAAGAUCAAGGCCUUGUUUUGUACAACACAAUCAAGGUAAUUUCUACAAGGUCAGAAAGCUGUAAUGAGAGGAAGUGAAAUCCUGGCCAGUUAUAUCUGGAAUCAAUUAAGUGUUUUCUGCAUUUUUCAGAUGGUGCUUGUCCUUCUAUUUAACGUCAGCUCAACCAAUUCAAGUUACUAACAAAAUAACAACUGGACAAUGCAUAUGACACACUACCUUCGCUUCAAAAUUGGCUGUAAUACAAAAUAAGGAAUGGGAGGAAAACUUGUCAAAAAUUUGAGUUUAAAGUGAACCUGUUUUCCCCCUUAAAUGAUAAACUGGCCAACAAUCUUAUGGAUGGGCUGGCAUAAUUUCAGGUUCUACACAACUUGUUUUGGGUGUUGUAUACUUGUAUGAAAAGCAAAUGAAAAGUGAAGAGGUGUUCAAGCUAACAGGUUACCCCGAGUCAACUAUGUUGCUUUGCACUUUCAACCAACAUGUUGGGAUACACGUUUGGAACAAAGUAAAAUCUUACUGGAUUUUUCAUACUUGAUGAAUUUAAGCUGAAACAAAGUCUAGCACUAGCCAACUGGAUUCAUUCUGGAGAAUGAGCCCUAUUCAAUGAAAAAUAGACCUUACUGAAUCCUUCCUCCCUACAGCCCUUUUCCCACAAUUUAACAUUAGUAAAGUUAAACAAGUCUUGUGUAAAAAGAGAUCAUAUUGUAAGUCAGAUUCAGGGACACAGAAUAAGAUUUUAGUUAAAUUCACAGGAAAAAUGGAUUAAUUAGUAUUGGAAGCUAGAACUAGUAAAAAAAAAAAUCCAAUAAAACAGGCUUUCACAAUGGAUUUUUUAGGGACAAAAAUUCCAUUUUGGCCUUUUUUCUGUCUUUUGUUAGUUUUUUGAUAAAAUUUUAAGUUUUUAAAUUUCAUUUUCAGAAAAAUCUUACUGUCUUUCACUUCUUCCCUCUUUCAUAUGAGAAAAAAGCCAAAUGGAGCAUUUCCCCUCCAUUGAAACAUAAUUUAAAAUUGUUAAAAGCUAAGCAUUUUGACUUUAAAUAUAUUCAGAAAAAAUAAGAUUAAUGAAAUCUGUUCAACAAAAAA